rnacentral:tRNA from 2 species
GCGGGCAUAGCUCAACUGGAUAGAGCACCUGACUACGGAUCAGGAGGUUGUGGGUUCGACUCCUACUGCCCGUG